rnacentral:lncRNA from 1 species
UUAUUGUUCUUGGGAACAAAAAUCAUAUUCCCAGAAUCCAGCCAAGCACGCGGCACACGCAUGUCAGCGCACACACACACACACACACCAAUACAAACAGUGACUUAGCGCUGAUAGUGACUUAAAAUAUCUGUUUCAGGAAGACAGCAAUGAAGAGCAGUUUGUUCAUGACCUUGGAAAAACCAAGAGAGCUGUUUUUACCGUCACCAGUGCCUUCCCGCGUGAGCGUCCUUGGCAUACAGUCCCCUCACCUGGUGCAACCUUUCUGGUCACUGUCUUACUCUCAGAUGACUGCAUCUAAUCAAGGAUGAGCUGAAUUUGGCUUGGGAAGUAUUUGUUUGUAAAUGAGAGAUUCCUCAUAAAGUAAAUGCUUUCAGGAUCCAGGGAGUAAUUUAAUAGUGGUGUGUUUUGGCCACCUUGGCAUGAAGUGGGAGAAAUAUUUGGGAAAGAGAGGAGAGAGAGAGAGGUGGACUUACUUAAACUCAGUUAUGCUAUACUUAUAGGAGAUAAAAAUACACGAAAAAUCAUAAGCGCAUGGUCUGUUUUGCUUUUGAACAGUGCAAAUACAUUUCCUCUCCCACCAAUCACACUUCUCUUAGCAGACAGCACUUGAGUGCCCUCAGAGGCACCCAAACAUGUCCAUGAAAGCACCACGAAGAGAGGAAAACCAAGUCAUUUUGGGGUUGUCAUUCCUAAAUCAAAACUGUUAUUGAAAAAUUUCCUUCUAGUGAGAGUCUAGGAGCAUUUCCCGCCUUGGUCGUGCCACAUGGCUUGCAGGGAUCUUAGUUCCCUGACCAGGGAUUGAACCCUUGCUUCCUGCAGUGGAAGCCCAGAGUCCUAACCGCUGGACCGCCGGGGAAGUCGCAAGAGCCUAGACAUUUUAAACAGGAAUCUCUUGGAUUAUUUAAUGAGAUGAUCUUGUUUUGGUUUUGUGUUUUAGGCUUUUUAUUGUAUGUUUUAUGAUGUUGUUAUUGUUUGUAUUAUUGCUUUGGAAAAUUCUGAAUAAUGGCUUGAUUAUUCUGGUAGGAAAUCAUCAUCAAAAGCAGCUUACCCUUCUUAGAAAUGUAUGUUUGUGUUUUGCUUUGAGAAGGAAUAUUUAAACUUUCCACAAGUUUGUGGAGAAGACAGAGUUUACUUGCAGCCACCCAAGGCACACUUCCACCUUUGUGACCGCCUCAGAGAGGAUUGAAAACUGUUUGAAUUCAUCUCUCAUGCAAACAAGAUGGGCAGAACUGGUGCCUCCCUCUUUGAAGAAUCUGCACUUUGAAAAAUGAUUGUUUUCUGACUAUAAAAAUAAUGCAGCUUAAUUUAUUAUGGAAACUGUGAAAAACAGAGAACAAUGUAUUAUACAAAGUAAAAAUCUCCUAUACCCCUACUACCUAGAAAGAGCCACUGUUAAUAUUUUGGUGUAUAUCUGAUGAGUAUUUUAAAAUUAUCUAAAUAUGUAUCUAUAAUUUAUAGAUAAUAAUAUGUGCUAUAGAUGUAAUUAUUAUAGAUAAUAUGUAUUAUAAUGUUCUCUAUCUAAAAUUGUAUAGAUAAGCAUAGACAAUCUCAUUAUUUGCUCUUUUCACUUGAUUAUUCAGAACACUACUAUUCUGUUCUAGCAUACUUUCCUGUGGUUGCAGAGAAUGUUAACCUGUGGAUGGAUAAACUUUGUUUAAGCAGUUGCUAUCAUUGUACAUUUGGUUGUUCUUAGUUUUUAUAAAUACUUUUGUAUGAACACAUUGCUGUUUAAUCUUUGAGAUGUCUUAGAAUGCAUUCCUAGAAGUGCAAGUGUUGCAUCAAAGGUAGUCAGGUGUUUGAAAAAAAUUUUUUACCAAAUUCCCCUGGGUUGGGAUACAGUUUUGAGGGCAUGAGCCUGCUGUGUCCCCUUUUGCCUGGCAAAGCAAUAAAGCUAUUCUUUUUGCUUCA